rnacentral:lncRNA from 1 species
UCCCGGCCAAAGGCCCGUUUUCCACUAGUGUAAUAAGUGACCCCUAACAAUAUGCCAAGUGAGGCAUCACCGGAAGUGUUUGGUAUGCACAAGAUAUUAGGCGUGCUAUUUAUCACCCUGCGAGUGCUGCAUAAAACAUUUCAGGCAGACCUUAUGUCACCACGUCCUUAUCCACCAACUUGUUAUCGUAGAGCAGUCAAGCGAAGUCCUUAAUGUGUCACGCAGUUGUACUCAAUGUAGCAUUGGUGACCUUCACGGUUUUCACCUAUAAAGCAUUAUAAAUUUAAAAACAAGUACCAAUGGGGAAUAAAAUAAGGGAUGUAAAGGUAAAUGGAUUUGUAUGAGCAUCAACAACUAGACCACUAAUAUCAUCUCCAAACGUUACCGACAACUCGAUCAUUGCGCGGACAGGAAAGGAACCUUAGAAAGCCAUGUAACUAGAACUCCUACAUUGUCCCCAUAUGUUCACGCUGUCCCCAAGUACACGUAUCGAUAUCCAGGCCCGGUGUCAUGUAUUUUUGUAUUCUUCUUUCUUUUCUCUAUAUUCCUCUCCGCCAAUAAUGAGCGAAUUUGUGCAUCGUGGUUAUAGAUGCUCUAAUACUCAUACUAGGCAAAGGCCGACAAGUGACAUCACAUUAUUAUGGUCUCACGUGUGUUUGUAGUGGUUAUAUGUGGCAUGGUGAUGCGGUAGAGAACCAUAUUAAUGUUCAACACCAUGUCGUCAGCUAUUAUGAAGUGUUCCCUUCCCAACAUCGCUCCUAUUCUCGAACUAUCCUACGUUUUCCUUUAGCUAUUUUUAACCAAAUUUUUGCUAAUAGAUUGUGUAUGAGAGGUCUUGAACUUUCGUGACCCAAGAGCAUCGAGAGAAUGUAGUCAGAAAGUGGUGUUGCAAAAAUUGUUAGUCGUGCAGGUGCGGUUG